rnacentral:rRNA from 1 species
GACGAACGCUGGCGGCGUGCUUAACACAUGCAAGUCGAACGGAAAGGCCCUGCUUUUGUGGGGUGCUCGAGUGGCGAACGGGUGAGUAACACGUGAGUAACCUGCCCUUGACUUUGGGAUAACUUUAGGAAACUGGGGCUAAUACCGGAUAGGAGCUCCUGCUGCAUGGUGGGGGUUGGAAAGUUUCGGCGGUUGGGGAUGGACUCGCGGCUUAUCAGCUUGUUGGUGGGGUAGUGGCUUACCAAGGCUUUGACGGGUAGCCGGCCUGAGAGGGUGACCAGCCACAUUGGGACUGAGAUACGGACCAGACUGCUACGGGAGGCAGCAGUGGGGAAUAUUGCACAAUGGGCGGAAGCCUGAUGCAGCAACGCCGCGUGCGGGAUGACGGCCUUCGGGUUGUAAACCGCUUUCGCCUGUGACGAAGCGUGAGUGACGGUAAUGGGUAAAGAAGCACCGGCUAACUACGUG